rnacentral:rRNA from 1 species
AUGGCGGAGGGGAAGCCGCUGCUGCGGUCGUUCGUGGAGGUGCCGAGGGACUCGCACUUCCCCAUCCAGAACCUCCCCUUCGGGGUCUUCCGCAGGAGGGGCCAGCCCGAGGGCCCGCCGCGCCCGGCGACGGCCAUCGGGGACUUCGCGCUCGACCUCGCCGCCGUCUCCGCCGCCGGCCUCUUCGACGGGCCCCUCCUCUCCGCCUCCCCAUGCUUCCACCAGGAAACGCUCAACAUGUUCUUGGGGUUGGGCCGACCGGCGUGGAAGGAGGCGCGCGCCACGCUCCAGAAAAUCCUCUCAGCUGAUGAGCCGGUGCUGCGUGACAACGAGGCCUUGAGGAAGAACUGCCUUGUGCCAAUGAGUGAUGUAGAGAUGCUUCUUCCUAUCACGGUAGGAGACUACACGGAUUUCUUUUGUUCUGUGCACCACGCAAGGAACUGUGGAUUCAUCUUCCGUGGACCACAGACUCCAGUCAAUCCGAAUUGGUUUCACUUACCAGUUGGUUACCAUGGACGGGCAUCAUCUGUAAUCAUAUCUGGAACAGACAUUAUUCGACCCAGAGGACAAGGUCAUCCAACAGGAAGCGCUCAACCUUAUUUCGGUCCUUCUCAAAAGCUUGAUUUUGAACUUGAGAUGGCUGCCAUUGUUGGACCAGGGAAUGAACUGGGCAAACCUAUUGAUAUUGCUGACGCUGAGGAUCAUAUAUUUGGCUUAGUGGUAAUGAAUGAUUGGAGUGCCAGAGAUAUUCAAGCCUGGGAGACCAUACCUCUUGGACCUUUCCUUGGCAAAAGCUUCAGUACAUCUGUAUCACCUUGGAUUGUGACCCUGGAUGCCCUGAAGCCUUUUGCCUGUGAGGCUCCUAAGCAGGAACCCGAACCUUUGCCUUACUUAGCUGAAAAGAAUCAUAUAAACUAUGACAUUCCUCUUGAAGCUUGGAUUAAGCCCAAAGAGCAAAGUGAAGCAUCAGUUGUCACAAAGACCAAUUUCAAACAUAUGUACUGGACUGUGACGCAGCAACUAGCACACCACACCGUGAAUGGAUGCAAUCUGAGACCAGGGGACAUGUUUGCGACUGGCACCCUCAGUGGACCUGAACCAGACUCUCUGGGAUGUUUGCUGGAGAUAACGUGGAACGGGCAGAAGGAGAUAUCAGUUGGGAAUUCGAUCCGCAAGUUCCUCCAAGAUGGGGACGAAGUCAUCUUGACAGGCUGUUGCAAGGGCGAGGACUACAACGUUGGAUUCGGAACCUGCACGGGGAAGAUUCUGCCGUCGCUUCCAUGA